rnacentral:misc_RNA from 1 species
AGAAUAGAAAGGAAAAAAAAAUCAAACAAAUAUUGCACAUUUACACUUGAAAAUUUUAAAAAUUGAACACACGUAGUACAUGAUAUCAUCAUUUUUUUCAACGCAAUCAUCAUUUCCUGUGACGGAGAUUAUCAACAGCGUUAGUAGUCCGUUGUAAAGUAGCGGCAUCAUUCUGGUUGGAAAACAGAGAAGAUGCUCUGUUAUUGAAGGUUCUAUUC